rnacentral:rRNA from 1 species
GAUGAACGCUGGCGGCGUGCCUAAUACAUGCAAGUCGAGCGAACAGACGAGGAGCUUGCUCCUCUGACGUUAGCGGCGGACGGGUGAGUAACACGUGGAUAACCUACCUAUAAGACUGGGAUAACUUCGGGAAACCGGAGCUAAUACCGGAUAAUAUAUUGAACCGCAUGGUUCAAUAGUGAAAGACGGUUUUGCUGUCACUUAUAGAUGGAUCCGCGCCGCAUUAGCUAGGUGGUAAGGUAACGGCUUACCAAGGCAACGAUGCGUAGCCGACCUGAGAGGGUGAUCAGCCACACUGGAACUGAGACACGGUCCAGACUCCUACGGGAGGCAGCAGUAGGGAAUCUUCCGCAAAGGGCGAAAGCCUGACGGAGCAACGCCGCGUGAGUGAUGAAGGUCUUCGGAUCGUAAAACUCUGUUAUUAGGGAAGAACAAAUGUGUAAGUAACUAUGCACGUCUUGACGGUACCUAAUCAGAAAGCCACGGCUAACUACGUG